UUUGGUGAGUUUGUUUGUGUCAAAGUCAGAGAGCCGUGUCUCUCUACAGUGAGAGGUUUUUGUACGGCGGCUCAAUGACUUUGUAUCACUGUGGUGGACUUUUGGUGGAGGAACCAGACUGAAUGUUGGAAGUGAUGUCCGUCCCACCCUGACGGUGCUGCCCCCCUCCAGAGAGGAGCUGCUGAAGGGGAAGGCCACGCUCAUGUGCCUGGCCAACAAGGGCUUCCCCUCAGACUGGAGUCUGGCCUGGAAGGUGGACGGCAGCAGCAGCAGCAGCAGCAGCAGCUGGGAGGAGAGCAGGAGCCCCGGGGUGCUGGAGAAGGACGGCAAAUACAGCUGGAGCAGCACCCUGAGGCUCCCUGCAGACCAGUGGGAGAAGGUGGGCUCUGUGACCUGUGAGGCCACCCAGGGCUCCCAGACUCCACUCUCAGAGACACUGAGGAGAGACCAGUGUUCCCAGUCCUGACCU